GACGAACGCUGGCGGCGUGCUUAACACAUGCAAGUCGAACGGAAAGGCCCUGCUUUUGUGGGGUUCUCGAGUGGCGAACGGGUGAGUAACACGUGAGUAACCUGCCCUUUACUUUGGGAUAACUUCAGGAAACUGGGGCUAAUACCGGAUAUGAGCUCCUGCUGCAUGGUGGGUUUUUGAAAGUUUCGGCGAUUGUGGAUGGACUCGCGGCUUAUCAGCUUGUUGGUGGGGUAGUGGCUUACCAAGGCUUUGACGGGUCGCCGGCCUGAGAGGGUGACCGGCCACAUUGGGACUGAGAUACGGGCCAGACUGCUACGGGAGGCAGCAGUGGGAAAUAUUGCAAGAUGGGCGGAAGCCUGAUGCAGCAACGCCGCGUGCGGGAGGACGGCCUUAGGGUUGUAAACCGCUUUCGACUGUAACGAAGAGUGAGUGACGGUAAUGGAUAAAGAAGCACCGGCUAACUACGUG
rnacentral:rRNA from 1 species